rnacentral:lncRNA from 1 species
CUCUCGCAAUUUAGAAGCAAGUAUUUCUACCCUACUCCUCUAGUACCUAUAGAUACUAAAACCUUCUUUAUAUCAUGAUUCAAAUUAUUUGCAAUUACUUUCUUGUGAAGCAUAUCUAGUACUUUUAAACCUUUUGGUUGAACGGAUAACACUUUUGGUAUCGACUCUACACUAUGAUAUGCAUAAAGAAAUUGUUUUAACAAAAUGUUGUUCUGGCUCUUGAAUUACAUGAUAGAACUGCAGAUUGUUUUAAAAAUUAAACUGUUGGGUUGUUUUUGCGUAAGAGGCUCGGGCACCGGCCCAGCGUGAAAGGUGGCUCCUUAAGCCCGGAUUACCGGAAUUCGUAAUAUUUGUCAACCUUGCUGAAUAAGCUUGGUUUAUGGACUAUAGCAUGACUGAUCAUCUGUUAUAGCCAGGUGUCCAAUUAAUUUUAAAGCCCAAUAAAAUUGUGAAUAGUUUAAAAAGAAGUUACCCUGCCUUCAAGAGAUAUUUGCUUAUACAUUCAUUUCUGCAGUUUUAAAUAUUUUCACUUCUUUAUUAUGGCAUUGCUGUACAACAAAUAUCAAUUUCAUUUUGUUAUUCUUGCUGAGCAUUAUUGCUCAUUCUUGCUAUUCCUUCUAACCCUUUUCAGCUAGGAAUAAAGAUGAUUCACUUAAGACUAGGCAAGGAUUGCAAGUGGUUGAGUUUCAAGCAGAUGGACAGGUAGAGUAUUUAGGACGAUGUCAUUAAGACUAGAUGCAGUUGGAGUUCUGCAAUUCAAUUCAGUUGGAAAUUAGAUUUGUUUAUUUGGUUAUCAGCUACUCUUCUUAUCGAGGUUUAGCUGAUAAUGUUGUUUAAUUUGUAAAUAAGAUUUUAUAGUUUUAGUUUCUGAUUUCAAUGCUGUAGCCUGUAUGCGAUCCUGUUUUCAGGGGGUGAAAUUGAUUUUGAAUUAAAGACCUUCUUUUAAAAAAAUAAUAUCCAGGUUUAGAAAUACUUGUUUUUACUUUCUUCCAAAAAUACAGGUUUUAAAUUGUUUUUCUUUUAAUGGCUCAAAACUACAGGUUUUAAAUUAUUUUUAUUUACACGUGGCACCAGAUCUAGACCCCCGGAUUUGAGGGAUGUCACAGUUGGUAUCAGAGCUACAGGUUAUAAGUUAUUGAAAUCAGAAUGUAGGUUGUAACUUGUCUAAUAAGAUAGACACGUUAAGUGAAACCUCACAUAUAGGUAAGUUCAGAUUAGUGGUGUAACCUCAUAUAGAGGUAUCGUAAGACUAUUUGGGGAUAGUCCUUUUGAGCAUAAUAAAAUGAAGCUAAACGAUUAUGUUUAAGUGAUUAUGGUUAUAGACACAACAAUUCCUAAUUCUAGUUCUUCCAGUCCCUAGUGGCCUAGUUUAUUGACCAAUUCAGAUUUAUAUCAUUGUAAGAGGGUCAAAGUUAGACCUAUCAACAGAACCUUCAAGCUAGAACCAGUAGAGAUUCUCACACAGUCUAAUGUAUCCUUUAUAGUAUCUUCCAAGUGUUGAGUAUUAUUUGAAGAGUCACCUUUUGAUUCUUGUCAGAGAUAUCUAGAAUUGGUGAAAGAAUAGAGGUGUUAACAAGUCCGAGUUUACAGCUUUGUAUAUAGUUAAGUAGUGAGCGUUAGAGCUACGUAGAGUUUGUGUUAGAUUAUUCGAUCUAGUACUUAUGUGUGAGUUAAGAUGUCAACGCUCUAUGGUGAUGAUUGUAUAAAGUUGGAUAAGACUUUUGACCGACAACGAUAUCAAUGAUGGGAUCUUCAGAGGCUAUUACUAGUCAACGAUAAUAUAUGCAAGUGGUCACUAAAACGUCAAGAAAAAUCACUAGAAUCAGAACGAGUCAUCAAAAGAAUCGAUCAAAAAGACAUCUGUGAGAAUCCUGGCAAUACCUUCCUCAUUGUUGAUAUAUUGAUUUCUUUCCCCAUCAAUGAUUUGUUCUGACAUCACUUUAAAAAAAAAAAAUAUUUGAUAAAGAGUAUAUUUUUACCUUUCACUCGAGUUCUCGAAUGAUACUUGUGCUUACUGUCACACCUAUAGAAUCUAUUCAAUCUUGGUAAUUUCGAACCCUUUCAUAUUCUUUACUCUAACUGAGAUGAACAACCCUACCUAUAGGGGACACAAGGACUACCUGUCUGUGUGAUAGGAGUUGGAUGGGACGCCAUCACUUGUGUGUGUUGUACAUUACAAGAAGGUUAACUACCUUUAGUAGUGUCUUAAAUUAGACACGCAACACCGAGUUCUAUAGACCAUAUUGAUCUCUCAGUUAUUCAUUUAUUUCAAUCACGUAACACUUGCUCCAAUAUGUGAAAUCUGUCAUAUCUUUUACCUUCAAGAUUCUUCUAAUCUCUAAUAGUUGGAGGUAUGCCAACCGAGUUGCCAAUAUGAAUUAAGACUUUGUAGUAAGAAGCACCAGGGAUGAAAGCGAAUGACAAUGCUGGUUAUAUCAGAAAGGAAUAUUAUGGAUUAUAGAGAUCGUACACUCUAGUUUUCUUUUUGAUGAUUCCGAGGACGGAAUCUUUUUAAGGGGGGUAGAUUGUGACGACCCGGAUUUUCAGAAAUUAUUUUAUUAUUUUUAUUCAUGAUUAUUCGAGACAAAUGAGGAAUAAAUUUCAAUAUUUUAUUCUAGUUUGAUAAUUUUCAAAAAUAUUUGUUUAAAUUAUUUUCCUAGUCAUUGUGAUUAUGAGAAAAUAUCUGUUGAUUGUACAAUUAUAUGUUACGAGAUUUAAUUGAAUUAGUUGUCUACUAUUAUGUCUGUGUGUGCAUUUAUUUUUACUUUUAAUAUUACUGUAUUGUUUUAUUGAAAUUUAUUAUCCUCUUAAAUGGAUAUUUAUUUUUGUAAAAAUACAAAGAUAAUUUCAAAAAUUAUUUUAAUUGCUCGAUAGUGAUCAUAAAUAUGUUUAGAAGUUUUUAAAAUAUUAAAAAUCCAAUUUCUACAAGGACAUGAUUUUUAAUUAGUUUCUAAACGCAGCUAACUUCUUAAUUUUGUAUAAAUUUUGAAAAUGCUCUAUAAAUCUUGAAACUUUUAUUUUAUGAGUUUUAUAAUAUUCGGUAAUUUAUAAAAUUAGUUUGUUAAUUUUUCGAGAAAGUUUUAAUGCGAGUUAUCCCGUAAAUCAACUAAAUAGCGGGUGUUUGGAUGAUUAUUCAGCUUAAAAUAAAACGUGGCAGCCUUUGGCCAAACCACGUGCCCUGCUUUUCACCACCGCCAUCCCUUUUCUUCAUUUUAUAUACAUCAGCCUCUCAAUCUCUCUCUCUCUCUCUCUGUGAAAUCCUCCAUCUCUCCCUCUCCGCUCCUCUUUCUUUUCUCACCCAUCUUCCUCUCUUUCUUGGCAUCACCGUCCCUUCCCUGCAGCCGCCGAAUUAUGCCGUUAUGCCGCUGCCACCUCUUUCCAGCGACCACCAUAGCCCUGCACCAAUUAUAAAUCAGUGGGUGUAAAGCUUAAUUUCUCUUUGUCAAAUCAGUUCUAUAUAAACGUAUAUAUACAUGUGGUGUUGUGUUUAUAUGGAUUAAAUUGAUUUAUAUAAUCGAUUUAUGUGUGCUUGUAUGUAUAUAAACUGAUUAUAUGCUGGUUUUUGAAAUUUGAAGGUUGAUUGAAUUUUUGAGAUUGAGAUUGGUGUUAGUAAUCGUAUGAUUGAAUUGUGUGCUUAAUUGAUAUUUGAAUUGGUUGUUGUAAGUUGAUUAUAAAUAGUGCGCCAAUUAGUAGUGUAAUCGGAUGACUUGGGUACUUGAAUUAUGGGAAUAUAUAACUGAGUAUUCAAGCUUUAAGGUCUGAGAUUUUUGUAAAUGUUUUCAAAGUGGUGUUUUAAGAGUUUAAGUAUUGGGCUAAAAAAAAAUUUUGAUUUACACAUAUUCGGUUGAAUUCUAGAUUGCUGUUGAUCUGUUUUGAAUUACAACUCUGGGAUCAUAGAGUUGAAUUAUAUGCUUAAUAUUUGUGUGGUUAUGUGCUCCUUAGAGUCUAGUUUAUGUGCGCGAAAGAACCGAAUCGAUUCGAUUAGCGAGCUAGGAGAUAUGACCGUUUUAGUAUAGUAUGGUGCUGAAAAUUCUGGGCAGGUUUGUCCUGUUCCAGGCUCUGUUUUACAGCUUUAAACUUGGAUUUUCUUUCUGAAAAUUUUACUGUAGGUUGGAAUAAUAUUUAGGAGUGUCUCAUAAAAAUUUCGUAUUAAAAAGAUAAUUUUUCAAUUUAUUAAAAAUCAUAGACCGAGGGCUGUUUGAACUAUUUGUUCUAUUUUUCUUUCUUUGCUAGUGCAUAGUAUGAGGUUAUACUUGACUAAUUGCAUAUGAUUGAUUAUUACAUUGAUUGGCUCGGUUAACCUUGUAUAUCUAAUUAAAAGUGUUUUGCGUAUAACAAGUUAGCAAUCCUGCUAAAAGAUUUUAUUAUAUGUUUACUACAAGUCAAGACAGAUUUUCUUAUGUGUUUACUGCAAGUCAAGGGAUCUUUUUAUAUUAAUAAUUCAUGUGUUAGCAAUAGUAUUGGUUGGUUGUUGGCAUUGCAAACAGGUGGAUAAGCUUAUAAACAGAGGAGAUGCUGCCGAAUUUUCGUUAGAAAUUAUAUGGAUUUAAUGCCUAUAAAAAGGGUUGUUUGUACAACUAUGUGCUAUGUGUUUAUGUGACUGUGGUAUGUAUAUGCGAAGGGUAGAUAUAUAUAUAGGUCUUAAUGCAAUUCAGGGUUAGUCAAUAUGUCUAAUCCGACGACUGAAAUACUAUUUUAUCAUCGUAUAGAAUUGAAGACAUUGACCGAGGCAUUAAUCGAGAAGUGAUUGAAAGGGGUAUUCAGAAAUAGCCAAGCAGAAUGUUACAAGUUGAAGUAGGACGGAGAUUUGUUAUAGAUAAAAGUGUGUCAGAAGCUGGCAGAAAGGAAUGAUUAUGCGGUAUAUAGUGUUACUAGGAAUCUGAGCUAAACUUUGGAGUUAAGGCAAGUACUUCUACCUUCUCUCGCAAUUUAGAAGCAAGUAUUUCUACCCUACUCCUCUAGUACCUAUAGAUACUAAAACCUUCUUUAUAUCAUGAUUCAAAUUAUUUGCAAUUACUUUCUUGUGAAGCAUAUCUAGUACUUUUAAACUUUUUGGUUGAACGGAUAACACUUUUGGUAUCAACUCUACACUAUGAUAUGCAUAAAGAAAUUGUUUUAACAAAAUGUUAUUCUGGCUCUUGAAUUACAUGAUGGAACUGCAGAUUGUUUUAAAAAUUAAACUAUUGGGUUGUUUUUGCGUAAGAGGCUCGGGCACCGGCCCAGCGUGAAAGGUGGCUCCUUAAGCCCGGAUUACCGGAAUUCGUAAUAUUUGUCAACCUUGCUGAAUAAGCUUGGUUUAUGGACUAUAGCAUGACUGAUCAUCUGUUAUAGCCAGGUGUCCAAUUAUUUUUAAAGCCCAAUAAAAUUGUGAAUAGUUUAAAAAGAAGUUACCCUGCCUUCAAGAGAUAUUUGCUUAUACAUUCAUUUCUGCAGUUUUAAAUAUUUUCACUUCUUUAUUAUGGCAUUGCUGUACAACA